CUCCAGCCUGGGCGACAGGAGUGAGACUCCAUCUCAAAAAUAAAUGAACAAAUAAAUAAAUAAAUAAAUAAAGAUUUAUGAUCAAGUAACUACCUGGACAUCCUCUCCUGGCAUAAAAAUCAGAACCUAUGAAGCCACCCUAGACUGUUGCCCAAUCAUAUCCCCCAAAAGCAACCUCUAUCUUGAGUCUUGUAUUUACUAUUCCUUUUCACUGUCUCUAAAGAUUUUUGCAAUAAGUACAUAUAUACCCAAAUCACAGUUUGUGUUUUUUGAACUUCCCGGUACAGAGAACUCACACUAUGUGUAUUCUUCUGCGAUGCGCGUUAUGUGUAGGAGAGUUAUCUCUGAUGUGGGAGGGUGCUGCUCAUUCAUUUUUACUGCUAAAGUUUUACUUUUUAUGAAUAUACCACAAUUUUGUUAAUUCCCAUUGAUGUAUAUGUGAUUAUUUCCAGUUUUUUGCCAUAAACAUUGGUGUACACGUCUCCUGGACACAUAGCUAAGAAUGUCCCCAGAGUGUAUGAUCAGGAGGCAGACGGUGGGAUUAUACGGUGUAUGGACGUUAAUCAUACUAGGUAAGGCUAAUUUGAUUUCCCAAGUGCUUGUACCAAGAAUGGGAAAGAGUUCAUGUUGCUCAUGUGUUCUGAAAACAUUCAGUUGAAGGUGGAGAUUAAAUGUUAAAAAUCACUGUGUUGGCUGCAGAAUCACCCUAGGCAUAUUUUUUAUAUUCCAUUAAUAACUUCCUUUUCUUUACCUUUACCCUGUAAAUUAUGGUUUUAUACUUUAAGCAUAAGGUUCAAACAAUGCUUCCUUUUAGCCUAACCACAUAGAGUUUCUGAAAAAUGGAAGGAGAGAGAAAGCUCUGAGGGAGGAAAGGAGGAAAGAAGGACAGAGAAAGACAAAAUGAAAAUUUCAAAAAGGAGUAGGAGGAAAGGAUUAGAAACAGCAAGUAUGUUUAACAUUAUUAAAAUGCAGGGAAUUAAAAGAUGUAGAUAACAUCCAUGGAAUAAUAGAAACGUAAGAAAGCCUUAAUAGUUAUUAACUGCUGUGUCACAAACUACCUCAAAAUUUAGUGUCUUAAUACAACAAAUACCUGUUAAUUCAAAGAGACACUACAAACACAAGCAAACUAGAUUUUAUGGGGGUGGCAGAAGUUGGAUAAAGAGACAGAUUUUACAGGUUGUAAUAAAUAAGAGUUAUUGGUGUGCAGAUGGAAAUGCUUUUUGAUCCAAGUUCUCCAAGGAGCAGAUACCAAGAGGAGCUUAAAGUCUGCAGCGUUUUAUGAGGGGACACACCUGUAAGGGAAUAUGGGAAGCGAACCAGAAAUCCCUGGAAAAGGCGGCAGACAAUGAUGCAAGUGUGACCCCAAGUGCUGGACAGAAGGAGAGAAAGUUUAUUCGACGCGCCCAAGAGCACAGGCAAUCUAAGGAGAGUUGAGCAAGGGCAUGGAGGAGUCCUGGAGCCACAUUUGGCCAUCAGAGGAGUCCCGUGUCUCCCGGUAAUGGCCUGCCUUAGUGUGCCUGCUGUGACCGGUCACUGGCUGGGAACCACUCAUGGGAAGCAGGGCUUCGGCACUAAUCCUGCUGAGGAUGUCAGAGCACAGGAGCAGAGCCUUGGGACAUUACCUAGGAGUAUGACUCAAUCCUUCCUUACAGAGGGUUCUGGGCUCUUGAAUAUCAAACCCUCUCAGGCUGGGUUGCUGGAUGAUUCUGCUCACACUUACAACAGGCAAGGGAAACCAGGAGAUCCCCAAGUGGAGUCCUGGUUUCUAUGCAUACUUCUCCUGCUCUCAUUGUGUGAUAGCAGCCCUGCCUCCUCCUCUUCUCACCUGCUUGUCUCUGGGCACAUGCUAUUCAAAUAUCCCUGGGUGCAACCACAAUGUGUAGUUCCAUGGACUCUCAUUUGUCUCCUUGCCAGGGUGCCCCCUUUGAGAAAUCAGGACCUCCUGCCCUGUGGAGUCCAGAUUUUGGAGCAGCGACCCCAGCUCCAGUGACUACAGCUCCAAGGAGAACCAGGCCAGCAACGAUGCCCACGAUGGGGAUGGUGGACUGGGAAGACGGCUUUGGGAAAAAAGGAGAAGAAGGCACACCACAGCUGCCCACUUCUGGAAGGUUCCAUUCCCUGCGGGCCUGGUCUCUACAAGCUCCAUGUCCUGAGUCUGGCCCUCCCCAUCCCACUGCCAGCCCGGGAGAUCUACAGGCGAUCAGGGAGGCGUCCCGUGCCCCGUGAUACCCGCGCGCUGCAGCGUCUCCUUCCCGUUCUCCUGGUGUCUGCGGAGCCACCCGACGCACAUGCCCUCCAGGUAGGCCCUGACCUGCUUUGCAAAUUCCUCUGCCUCCCACUUGCGCGUGUCAGCUGCGGUCCAGGAGCAC